GUAGCCUGCGUAACGGCUCAGAGAAAGUAGAGCCUGCACGAAACCCCCUGCUUUGCCGUAUUUACUCGUUCUCUCAGAGGACGAGAAAUCUGAUUGGUUCAAAAUGAAAAAAAUAUGCUAAUUUAUGCUAAAAUUGAUACAAACACGGCGGAUGUAUUAUUGAGAGGCGUUUCUUUGAGUUUUGCAUUCAAAAGAACUUAAAAGCCACGAUUUACGGUUGAACAUUAAAGUUAUUUACGAACUUGGUUCACGAAGCUCUAGAGAUAUUGACUGUGGUGUCUUCGUUGGAUUGCUGUCUGUUAGCAGCGCCUCUUUCACAACUCACGAGCGUGUUCGUUUUCAUAAAUUCAUCGACGACAAAUAGAUUUUUUCUUCAUGAUUUUGUAGCUAAUAAUUUUGUGCCAGGAGAGAAUUGCUAUAAAUGCUUAUGUCUUAUGAACAGGACUUGCUCUCUGUGAAGUGAUGGCUUUAAACACCUUUAAUAUUCUCUUAUCAGCAUCGCUCGAAACUUUAACAUUUAAUACAUCACGGUUGACCGCUGUCGAAACUAUAAAUUCUAUUUGUACGUGUGCGAGAAAGCUACGAAAUAUCGUAGAUACGGACUGCAAACUACUUGUGACAACGAUGGAGAUUGCCCUAGGCCUAGCGCUAUUCCCACAGACUUCAAUUUUCUUUAGCCGCCAUCCGUAUAUUACAGUAUUUCGUUUUGAAAUUUGCGAACAUACAGCAAUCUAUAUUUAUAUUUCAUUUUGAUAAGUAAAUUUGCAAACGUAAACAAUCUGUGUGAUUGGCCAAUUUUGACAUCUGUUUAAAGUGGGCGUAGCCCGCAGGCUAAGUGGGCGGAAAUGGCAAAGCAGGGGGUUUCGUGCAGGCUCUACUUUCUCUGAGCCGUUACGCAGGCUA